AUAUGUUUCUGAUAUUGUCUGAUGAAUCCAUAGAGAAGCUCCUCAGCGUUGGUGCUUUUUGAAAUUGCCCUUCCUGUUGCUACAGCUGAGCUGAAAGUCUCCAGAAAACAGCAAGUUAUCUAGGUACCAUUCCACCUACUUCUCCUUAAAUGCACAUAGAAGCUGAUUCCAAACCCAGAAAAGCCAAGGCCAGUCUUUCCAUUUACUUCAGUGGGUUUUUCACAGAGAGGCUGCAAUCUUUUCAUCCUAAAAUGCCAAGCAAUAAGUAAUAUACAUUAAAAAAUACUUGCCUCCUCCUCCACUCCAGCAAAAGGCCUUUCAGCAAUGAAUUAAGUCCAGUUCUUCUGCACAGGUCUGGGUGGGAGAGCCAGCAUGGGACGUACACACCCCUUGUGUGUAGUGGAAGCCAGCUUGUCUAGGGCCUUUCCCUAAAGAUGUUCAUGGCAGGGCAGGUGGAUACUCUUUAUUGUAACUCCAUAGUCUGGAGUGUUGGGCCUUAAGUUUAAUGAGCAGGCGCUGGGCGAUGUUGGAGGCCUUGGAUAUGCAGCAGGUCAGACUAAAGGACCUGGUGGUUCCUUUUAGCCAUAAACUCUAAGACUUGAAGACAGAAUAUGCUUUAGGUGCAUGCUUUCCCUUCCAGUGAGUGUACUGUAAAAACCAAACUACUGACUAAAAGGCAAGAAAAGUUCUGCCUUCAACAAGUUAUUUAAUGGGAGAUAACAGCUGUACUGGAUUAAUGUCAUCACUGCCCAUGUAAUAUUUCUUGUUUUCUGAACAGAGGCAGUGCUUUGAUUUGCAAAAGUUAUGGCCUCUUCACAAGAGAAAUCAAGAGGUGCAGCUUUGAAUCACAAGAGAAGUGCCUUCCCAGUCCCACAGAUGCCUAAACAGACGCCGAGCACUUCUGUAAAUCUGGAUCAAAUCCUGCCGCUUGUGACUUCCCUGACAACUUUGCCCGAGCAGAGAAAAACAUUACAGAAAAUGAGAGACGAAGAAAAGAGAAAAGCAACAAGCAGAGGAAGUGAUCAA
rnacentral:lncRNA from 1 species